UUCGUUAAAGUGCGAUGGUCCGCGAAAGUAUAGACGUACGAAACGUAGUGUGAUUAUGACGUUAACAUUCGUUUAUACAAACCAAAAAUGAACAUGCCGGAAGAUGAAAUAAAUAAUGGAAGCGAACAAAUGCAUAUUAAUGUUUACCCUUAUGUUAAAAUAUUGUUGAUUUUAUUUAAGAGUAUAAACGUCGUUAAAAAAUAGGUACACGUUUUAAAUUGUCCAUUUAAACACCAGUGUAUACAUUGUAUUAAAAAAUAACAUGUAUUAAUACUCAUUACGAAAAUGAGGAAAGCUCA
rnacentral:lncRNA from 1 species